rnacentral:rRNA from 1 species
AUUGAACGCUGGCGGCAGGCUUAACACAUGCAAGUCGAACGCGUGGCGGACGGGUGAGUAAUGUUUGGGAAUCUAGCUUAUGGAGGGGGAUAACUACGGGAAACUGUAGCUAAUACCGCGUACCAUAGGAUUAGCCCAAGUGGGAUUAGGUAGUUGGUGAGGUAAAGGCUCACCAAGGCGACGAUCUCUAGCUGGUCUGAGAGGAUGACCAGCCACACUGGAACUGAGACACGGCCCAGACUCCUACGGGAGGCAGCAGUGGGGAAUAUGCCGCAAUGGGGGAAACCUGACGCAGCCAUGCCGCGUGAAUGAAGAAGGCCUUCGGGUUGUAAAGUUCUUUCAGUAGGGAAGCGUUACCUGCAGAAGAAGCACCGGCUAACUACGUGCCAGCAGCCGCGGUAAUUC